AGGAAGAAGCAGGCUCCCAGCUGAGGAGCCUGACGUGGGGCUCGAUCCCAUAACGCCGGGAUCACGCCCUGAGCCGUAGGCAGACGCCUAACCGCUGUGCCACCCAGGCGCCCCAAGAAACAGCAUUUUUGUGACAAGGAUUGUAGGGCAGUGGGGAUCCUUUUCCCUUCAUUCUAGUCAUUUGGUGGCUGAAAAAUCUUUGGCAGCAGAAAAUUUAAGUGAGAGCUUGAAUGUUUGAUUUUUCCAAGGUUGGUGCCCCAGUCCCCACCUGCUGAGUUCGGGGUUACAGAAAACCCUACAGGAAAGAGCCAUGGGCCCCAGUCACAGCUCGGGCGUUGCAAGGGAAAGAACAGGGUUGGACAAGGUGAUUUUACCUACAACUAACUGAAGCUGUUGGCCAGCACACCCCCACCCCACCCCCUGGCCCCCCAAGCUCCGGCCCUUUUAACUUAUCUCUUCGAAAAUCCAGACCCGAGCAGUCAGAUGUGUGUGUGUAAUUUUUCCCAUUUUAUAGACGAGAGGGUGGGAAUUCAAUGGGGCUGAAAUUCUUCCUUUCAAAAACCUCGUGAGUUUCUCUGGAAUGCCAGCCUUCCGGAAGCUUCUCUGCUCAGUGCCUGUUAAUCCUCUACUGAGAGCUGAUAACGAGGUGAGGGUGUUUUUUCUUUAGGUGGAUAAAAAGAGCAUUACUUCUUUCUUUUUCUGGCCUGUAGUGUCUAUGCAAGUUAUUUUUUUGCCCAUUAAAAAGUGUCAUUGUUUAAACCAUACUGGUUUUCACAAGAUGAUUAACAACUGAAUUUCCUUUGUUAAAAAUAAAGGGGGAGAGCUUCUCCCCUCAGACAAUUGAGUGUGUCCUGCAGAUAAGCCUGACUCGAAAGUUCCACACUCUUCUUUCUCUCCCGUGUUUGUUUUCCUUCUCAGCCCGAGUCUGUGAGGCCAACUUUGCACCUGCUGCUGAAAUAAUUUAGGUAUUACUGUCCCAGCUAACGCAAACCAGAGCGCUUGCCUUUGGUUUAAUGUGACCACCUCGGAUGGACGGAUGGGCUGAGAACGCUCCACAGAAGCUUUUUUUUUUUUUUUUUUUUUUUGCUUCCAAAAUUCCUUUGAGGCAAGUAGAGGUAAACAUUUUCGGCCUCAGCCAGCCAAGGACGUGUAGUAGGAGAGGAUUAGCGGGGAAGGGGUGGGGGUGGGGGGCCAGAGCCUCCAGAAUCCUUGUUGUGCUUCAAUAAAAGGUCACAAAGCUCUCUGUGUUCUCUCCCUCCUGAGGGUCCAGACCAGAAUGCCUUCUUAUCUGUGUCAUCUGGCCCCACCCCAUCCACUGGCUGCAGGUGACCAGUGAGCAUCUGAAAUGUGGCUGCUGUGAGCCCAGGUGUUCUCUAAAUAUAAAGUUGAUACCAGAUGUCAGAGACUUAGUAAAAAUAUAUCUAAUAAUAUUUUUGCGGGGCGCCUGGGCAGCUUAGCAGGUUAAGCGUCUGCCUUAGGCUCAGGUCGUGAUCCCAGGGUCCUGGAUUCGAGUCCUGCAUUGGGCUCCCUGCUCAGUGAGGAGCCUGCUUCUCCCUCUCCCCUUGCCUGCCACUCCCCCUGCGUGUGCUCUCUCUUUGUCAAAUAAAUACAUAAAAUCUUUUAAAAAAAUACUAUUUUUGAGUGGACUGCCACCUGACACACAACACAUUUGGCUUAGCUUUUUGUGGAUUAUCUGACUUGGACAUUCCCGGAAAGAGGCCUCCCAAAGCGCAGCAAAGGAUGCAGAUCUGACACCCACUGAAGGGGCCGGGGCCAAGAGUAGCUGGUAAGAGCCCCGGCAGAGUUCCACUGGGGAUUUGAAAAGAGGCGAGCAGAUACAAGGCUCCCGAGCGAAGUCUUGCAAUGUAGGAACGUGUGUCAUUCCGUCACUAUGGCAUUUCAGAAAUGUGUGCCCUCAGGACUCCAAGCUCGUCCUUUUUAAACGUUGGCCUCACCUCAGUGAUCGUGUCAAGCAAUCAGCAGCAGGCCCAGCCAGGCUAGUGUGUAAGGACUUGAACAGCUGCACGGGACAAAGGAACACCAUGGAAACGUGGGGCAAAGCCCAGGACUCAUAGUCCAAAGCCCAGGACUCCGUUUGAUUGAUGGGUUACGGUAAGAGCAUGCUGGGGCCUCCUGUCCGGGCCCCUUUGCUUCUUGCAAGCAUGUCCUUGCCUGUGCAACCCAGUGGGAGCUCCUACACUUCCCUCUUAAAAUCAAUGCAAGGAGCAUUGUAGCAAUAAAGAAUGAAGAGGAGGUUUACAUUCGAAAUCAUUUUGCUGGCUCGACGUCUUUCUCAACCACAACCAGGAGGUCGGGAACUCAUACAGCCAUCUGUGGGUGCACUGCACUGUUUUGAAGAGAGAGAACCCCGGCAGGAAUCAGAGCUGACACAGUUGAGUCUGCUCCGGCCGCUCGGAAGCUCGGAGUCAAGGACAAUCAACUGUGCGUGAAGUCAGCAACUGGCUCCAGCGUUUUCUGGUUUUGUAAUCACGGGCAAGCACCUGAGUUCCUCCUUUGUAAAACUGAGGGGAAUUCUUCCCUUCACCUGAUCACUUAACACUGGGACCCCCAUAAAAGGGCUAACAUGGGAAGACCAUAAUCAAGUUCUGCACAAAAACCCAAGUUACGAGGUCUAGACUGCGAUCUAACGGUUCGUUGCUAGAAGCAACAAGUAACUCUCGAUAUUUCUCAGUCUUGCUUUACCCGCCAUUAAAAACCAUUCUGGCCAUAUCAGGA